rnacentral:misc_RNA from 1 species
UAAUCUCACUCCGACGACUUUGUUGUUGUCUGGAGGUGGACUUGGACCCUUGCUGUGUUACAACGGCUGGUCUGAAAUGCAUGAGUGCACCCUGCUGUUGCAGCGUCUUCAGUGUGAUAAGUAUCUUCACUGAGUAAGUUCCCUUGGGACACGCCUUGCCGGUGGGCUCUGUGCCUCUAACCGUCUUAGGACAAUCUUUGACA